AUGCCGUAUCUUUCUUGAUAUAUUUGUUUUUCAUUCAUUAAGAGGUAGAAUAAGGGCACGAUUAUUCAACAAAUGCAAUUCGUUUGGUCAAGGACAUCGACCAAGUCUUGUUUCAGCAGGAAAGCCCCAUCUACAAGACUUUUUGGUUGUUGAUGGUUAGACACAAUCUUUGUAGCUUUAGAAGUCUCAGGACGCCCUCUAGUGUCCAUAUGGAUUCAAAGUCCAAUGAUUCAAAAAUAAAUCACUGGUGCUUCUAGUCUAGGACAUCUUAUUGUAGCCAUUUGCCAAAAUAGCAGAACCAUCAUUAUUCGCCCAUUGUGUUAUCCUGUUAGUUGGCUUGUCAUUGUCAGGCUAUGCUACCCUAUCUUUGGAUUAGAAAGUGUGCUCAGAGUUCCUCAGGUGGCAUCAUAGGUCCCAAUGGCUGAGCAAGGGCCUGGAGGUCAAUGCUGUGAGGGGUGGAAGGGCCUGAGGGGACAGGAACGAAUCUUUGGAGGCACAGUUGCCCCAGGUGCUGUGUGUAAAGUGCUGCUUCUGGAUCACCCUCUCAGACCUCCAUGUCUGGUGCCUGCCUGGAUGUCUGCCCAUUGCUGGAACUCAAGGCAAUCAGACAAACACGGGAUCACUGGGGUUGGAGCAGGGUUCCAGGAUAAGCCAGGUGUGGUUCAGUUUGUCCUAUACUGCCGCCUUAUAGUCCUUUUCCAAGCCACUUCGCCUUAUCCUUUUAAAAAAUAUUUUAUUUAUUUGACAAAGAGAGAGAGAGAGCACCCAAGUAGGAGGAGGAGCAGGCAGAGGGAGAAGCAGGCUCCCACCUGACAGGAAACCUGAUGUGGGACUUGAUCCCAAGACCUUGAGAUCAUGACCUGAGCCAAAGACAGAUGCUUAACUGACAGAGCCACCCAGGUGCCCUCCAGGCCUCUUCUGAUAUUAGAAACCAAACCAGACUGACUUGGGGCUAUGGUUCUCAAAGUGUGGACCUGAGACAAGCUGCAUUGGCAACACCUGGGAACUUGUUAGAAAUGCAAAUCUCAGGCUCUACCCAGAACCUACUGAAUGAGAAAUUCCAGGGGUGAGGGUCCAACACACCGGAUUUUAUUUUUUUAUUUUUUUAAAUUUUAUUUAUUUAUUCAUAGAGACAGAGAGAGAGAGAGAGAGAGGCAGAGACACAGGCAGAGGGAGAAGCAGGCAUCAUACAGAGAGCCUGACGUGGGACUCGAUUCCAAGGUCUCCAGGAUCACGCCCUGGGCUGCAGGCAGCAGCUAAACCGCUGCGCCACCGGGGCUGCCCUUUUUUUUUUUUCUUCUUUUUUUCACACCAGAUUUUAAUAAGCCCUCCAGCAGGAUUUUGCUUUUCAUUUUUUUUUUUAAGAUUUGAUUUAUUUAUUCAUGAGAGAGAGAGGCAGAGGGAGAAGCAGGCUCCAUGCAGUGAGCCUGACGUGGGAUUUGAUCCUGGGUCUGCCCUGGGUUGAAGGCAGGCACUUAAAAAAAAAAAAAAAAAAAAAAAAAUGAAGGCAGGCACUUAACCGCUGAGCCACCCAGGAAUCCCUAGGAUUUUGCUUUUCAAAUCAGGCUUUCCUCUCUCAAGUUUCAAUAUGCAGUAGCUGUGACUCCGGAUAGUCAGAGGUCAGGACACUUUCUUACCAGGAAGCACCUGGCACCUGAAUUUAGGCCUGGCCUGGGCAAAGACACUCAUGUCCUGGAUUCUGAGCCAUGUUCACUUGUCCUGGGUGUCCACUGGGUUUCUACUCAUACCUCAAAUGCAGUUAACAUGUUUGUCUCUUUUAUGAGGUUUUGGGACUCCUUAGUCAGAGCUGAUG
rnacentral:lncRNA from 1 species